rnacentral:rRNA from 1 species
AUUGAACGCUGGCGGCAGGCCUAACACAUGCAAGUCGAGCGAGCGGCGGACGGGUGAGUAAUGUAUGGGGACUGCCCGAUAGAGGGGGCUAACUACUGGAAACGGUAGCUAAUACCGCAUACUAUCGGAUAACCCAUAUGGGAUUAGCUAGUAGGUGAGGUAAUGGCGCACGUAGGCGACGAUCCCUCGGUGGUCUGAGAGGAUGAUCAGCCACACUGUGACUGAGACACGGCCACGACUCCUACGGAGGCAGCAGUGGGGUAUAUGGCACAAUGGGCGCAUGCCUGAUGCAGCCAGGCCGCGUGUAUGAAGAAGGCCCUAGGGUUGUAAAGUACUUUCAGUCGGGAGGCGUUACCGACAGAAGAAGCACCGGCUAACUCCGUGCCAGCCGCCGCGGUAAUAC